rnacentral:tRNA from 1 species
GGGCUAUAGCUCAGCAAGGUAGAGCACCUCGUUUACACACCGAGAAGGUCUACGGUUCGAACCCGUAUAGCCCUA